GAACGCUGGCGGCAGGCUUAACACAUGCAAGUCGAGCGGGCGUAGCAAUACGUCAGCGGCAGACGGGUGAGUAACGCGUGGGAACAUACCUUUUGGUUCGGAACAACACAGGGAAACUUGUGCUAAUACCGGAUAAGCCCUUACGGGGAAAGAUUUAUCGCCGAAAGAUUGGCCCGCGUCUGAUUAGCUAGUUGGUGAGGUAACGGCUCACCAAGGCGACGAUCAGUAGCUGGUCUGAGAGAAUGAUCAGCCACAUUGGGACUGAGACACGGCCCAAACUCCUACGGGAGGCAGCAGUGGGGAAUAUUGGACAAUGGGCGCAAGCCUGAUCCAGCCAUGCCGCGUGAGUGAUGAAGGCCCUAGGGUUGUAAAGCUCCUUUGUGCGGGAAGAUAAUGACGGUACCGCAAGAAUAAGCCCCGGCUAACUUCGUGCCAGCAGCCGCGGUAAUACGAAGGGGGCUAGCGUUGCUCGGAAUCACUGGGCGUAAAGGGUGCGUAGGCGGGUCUUUAAGUCAGGGGUGAAAUCCUGGAGCUCAACUCCAGAACUGCCCUUGAUACUGAGGAUCUUGAGUUCGGGAGAGGUGAGUGGAACUGCGAGUGUAGAGUGAAAUUCGUAGAUAUUCGCAAGAACACCAGUGGCGAAGGCGGCUCACUGGCCCGAUACUGACGCUGAGGCACGAAAGCGUGGGGA
rnacentral:rRNA from 1 species